rnacentral:tRNA from 1 species
GGAAGGGUGACCGAGCUGGCCUAAGGUGAUCGCCUGCUAAGCGAUUGUGCGGGUAAAACCGCACCGUGGGUUCGAAUCCCACCCCUUCCGCCA